rnacentral:lncRNA from 1 species
CACUGACAUAGCAGGGCCAAGAUGGGGGUGAGGGAGCAAGGGGGCCAGGGGACAGGUGUGUUACACCCCUGCAAAUGCAGCGCUGGAUCCUGCCUUCAUUGAACAAUUUGAUCUUUUGCUCAUCUCAGAUUUUCUUUGCAUUAAUUUUGCCCUCUUAAAAAUAUUGCAUUGGGGAUAUUAUUUAUCUUGAUGAUGGGGCUUUGCAGUACUCAGGGCAGGCAUAAUCAUCUCUACUUUGCAGGUGAGGACCAUGAGGACUAGGGGGUCAGGAGUCUGGAGAAGUCCCAUGGCCGAAAGGGCGGGAGCUGGGAGGUUUACCAGGGCUUCUGGGAGUGGGUUGGAGGUGGCUACAUGACUUACCCUGGGGGAUCAUAGUUCUCAGGAAUGUGUUUCUCUUCUUCCAGGUCGGGAAAGAGGUUGAAGAAGACCCGUAAGUAUGACAUCAUCACUACUCCAGCUGAGCGAGUGGAAAUGGCCCCAUUGAAUGAGGAGGAUGAUGAGGAUGAGGAUUCCACAGUAUUUGACAUCAAAUACAGGUCCAGAGUCUGGGAAAAACGUCAUUGGAGAGUAGCUAGCAUGGAGAUCCCACAGUUUCCCUCCCUCUACUGUUCAGAGAGGCCCACCUGUUCUCCUAUCAACAGUGAAGGAUAUAGUAGCAUCGUAUAGAGCCUGAGGUCUGUGCUGAGAGCCUGAUGGUUGGAGCCACUUCCCUGCCUGUCUCUUCCAAUUGAUGGGAUAGUGUCUAUAAAAAUGUCUUGAUAUGAAAAGUGGCAAAUUGGCCUUCACAAUAAACAGAACUUAAAGUAACA